UACAGAGGUUCCAAGCGUUGUUCGGAUUUAUUGGGCGUAAAGGGUGCGUAGGCGGCGGAGUAAGUUGGGUGUGAAAUCCCGGGGCUCAACCUCGGAAUUGCAUUCAAUACUGCUUCGCUCGAGUACUGGAGAGGAGACUGGAAUUUACGGUGUAGCAGUGAAAUGCGUAGAUAUCGUAAGGAAGGCCGGUGGCGAAAGCGAGUCUCUGGACAGUUACUGACGCUGAUGCACGAAGGCCAGGGGAGCAAACGGG
rnacentral:rRNA from 1 species